ACUGACAUUAGACUACCCCCGUAGUCCCAGACCGUAAACUAUGCGCGUUAGGUGUACUGGUGACCACGAGUCCGACCGGGGGUCGCCGGAAGGGAACCGUGAAACGUGCCGCCGUGGGAAGUACGGUCGCAAGGCUAGAAACUUAAAGGAAUUGGCGGGGAGCACCACAACGGGUGGAGCCUGCGGUUUAAUUGGACUCAGCGCCGGAAAUCUCACCGGAUAGGACAGACAUAUGAUAGUCGGGCUGAAGACUCUACUUGAUGAUCUG
rnacentral:rRNA from 1 species